GAUGAACGCUAGCGGCAGGCUUAAUACAUGCAAGUCGAACGGGAUUGAGAAGCUUGCUUUUCAUGAGAGUGGCGCACGGGUGCGUAACACGUAUGCAACCUACCUUGUCCAGGGGGAUAGCCCGUUGAAAGACGGAUUAAGACCGCAUAACAUUGAGCUGUGGCAUCACAAAUCAAUCAAAUAUUUAUAGGGACAAGAUGGGCAUGCGCCUGAUUAGGGAGUUGGCGGGGUAAUGGCCCACCAAGCCGACGAUCAGUAGGGGAUCUGAGAGGAUGACCCCCCACACUGGUACUGAGACACGGACCAGACUCCUACGGGAGGCAGCAGUAAGGAAUAUUGGUCAAUGGGCGAAAGCCUGAACCAGCCAUGCCGCGUGCAGGAAGACGGCCCUAAGGGUUGUAAACUGCUUUUAUACGGGAAUAACCCCGGUUUCGUGAAACCGGCUGAAUGUACCGUAAGAAUAAGGAUCGGCUAACUCCGUGCCAGCCGCCGCUGUAA
rnacentral:rRNA from 1 species